rnacentral:rRNA from 1 species
UACAGAGGGUGCAAGCGUUAAUCGGAAUUACUGGGCGUAAAGCGUGCGUAGACGGUUACAUAAGUCGGGUGUGAAAGCCCCGGGCUCAACCUGGGAAUUGCAUUCGAGACUGCGUAGCUAGGGUGCGGAAGAGGGAAGCGGAAUUUCCGGUGUAGCGGUGAAAUGCGUAGAUAUCGGAAGGAACAUCAGUGGCGAAAGCGGCUUCCUGGUCCAGCACCGACGUUCAAGCACGAAAGCGUGGGGAGCAAACAGG